rnacentral:rRNA from 1 species
AAUAGAUACCCAGGUAGUCCACGCCGUAAACGGUGGGCACUAGGUGUGGGCAACAUUCCACGUUGUCCGUGCCGCAGCUAACGCAUUAAGUGCCCCGCCUGGGGAGUACGGCCGCAAGGCUAAAACUCAAAGGAAUUGACGGGGGCCCGCACAAGCGGCGGAGCAUGUGGCUUAAUUCGACGCAACGCGAAGAACCUUACCAAGGCUUGACAUACACCGGAAAGCAUCAGAGAUGGUGCCCCCCUUGUGGUCGGUGUACAGGUGGUGCAUGGCUGUCGUCAGCUCGUAUCGUGAGAUGUUGGGUUAAGUCCCGCAACGAGCGCAACCCUUGUCCCGUGUUGCCAGCAACUCUUCGGAGGUUGGGGACUCACGGGAGACCGCCGGGGUCAACUCGGAGGAAGGUGGGGACGACGUCAAGUCAUCAUGCCCCUUAUGUCUUGGGCUGCACACGUGCUACAAUGGCCGGUACAAUGAGCUGCGAUACCGCAAGGUGGAGCGAAUCUCAAAAAGCCGGUCUCAGUUCGGAUUGGGGU